UUUAACGAGAGUUUGAUCCUGGCUCAGGAUGAACGCUGGCGGCGUGCUUAACACAUGCAAGUCGAGCGAAGCACCUUGACGGAUUUCUUCGGAUUGAAGCCUUGGUGACUGAGCGGCGGACGGGUGAGUAACGCGUGGGUAACCUGCCUCA
rnacentral:rRNA from 1 species